CUCACUGGUGUCGUUACCAAGCUACUGGAUUCUCGGUUGAUCUAGUAUUGUAAGAUGGUUGAUCACACAUUUAUUUGCUUGAGUAUAUAAGUAAACAUCUGACUGUGCACGCAUGAAUCUCAACUGCUUACCUGACAGCUUUGUUUAUGUUGAACAUCACACUUCUUGCAAAGCUUUCCACUAGAUGUUAAAGAGGUUGAGUCAUAGUUCAUGAGUUCUACACUUAAAUCUUCAGAAACCAUGUCUUCAUGGAGCUUGCUUAGUGCACAGCAGCAUUGUUGUGAUGAAACAGAUUGCUUAUUUCCAGUGAAAGUAAAUCAGUAAAAUAAGCCUUUAUUUCGUCACAUUGUACAUUACAGCACAGGGAAAUUAUUUCUUCGUUGUUCCCAACUUGGAAGUUAGGGUCAGAAAGCAGGGUCUGCUGUGAUACAGAGCCCCUGGAGCAGCGAGGUUAAAGGGCCCAACAGUGACCACUUGGCAGUGCUGGGGAUUGAACACUGAUCAGCAAUCCAGAGCCUAAUCCACUUGAGCCAUCACUGCCUCAUAAUCAUAACACAACAGCAUACAUACGAAGACCUUCUAAACAAUUGUGUGACUUCCAUCUUUGUGGAAACAGUUUGGGAAAAGCCCCAAGAUGAAAGCACUGAAUCCAGCUCCACACAGAUGGGAGCUUGUAAAGGGAGCCAUCAUUUUCACUGCACACAAAGAAGAAAUAUCUUGGAACACGUUUUGCAAUAAACUAAAACUCUGCCACACACAAGGCAUGUUGGUUUCAUCUCAUGAUUUACUGUUAACAUUUGUUAAUUAAAAUUCAUUAAACAUCUUGACAUA